UACGGAGGGUGCAAGCGUUAUCCGGAUUUACUGGGUUUAAAGGGUGCGCAGGCGGAUAUGUAAGUCAGUGGUGAAAUCUCCGGGCUUAACCCGGAAAUUGCCGUUGAUACUAUAUAUCUUGAAUGCUGUGGAGGUAAGCAGAAUAUGUCAUGUAGCGGUGAAAUGCUUAGAUAUGACAUAGAAUACCUAUUGCGAAGGCAGCUUACUACGCAGAUAUUGACGCUCAUGCACGAAAGCGUGGGGAUCAAACAGGA
rnacentral:rRNA from 1 species